rnacentral:lncRNA from 1 species
ACCCCCCAACCCCUACUCUUUUCUCUGAUGGUUAGUUUUAGUAUAGAUGCUUAUGAUUGAUUGUUUCCAUGAAAAUUAUUCAAGAUAGUUCAAGGUAAGAAUAAAAAUAAGAAAUCAUGUUUUUUAAAAGUAGUAAUCAUGAAGUCAGACACCUAAAACUGAAACUUACUCUGUCCAGUGAUAGAAAUUAGAUGUGGCAAAAAAAAAAACUACUCUCUAUAGCAGGUUUUCCCUCGCACUAUUUCAUGGCUCUGAUUUUCUUUCUUUCUGGUCUCUCAAUUAUUUUGCUCAUUUGUUUUUCACAUGACUCAUAUAGUUUAACCCAACUUUGAAAUAUUAACCUGCCCUCUUUAUCUCCUACUAAUAACUGAUUUAACCUUCUUUAAUGUUUUGAUCUAUUUCUAUUGUUAUAAAGCCUGGCUAAAAAACUUUGCUAGAGGUCAAGUCACUGGCCGAUCUGUGGAUUUUCAAAGCAUUCCAAACAACCAUUGACACAUAUGCAGUUAUAGGAAAAGUAAAACAUGGGUUUUUAGGGGCCAUGUAUCAGUCACUGUUCUCAGAUGUGAAAAAAAGCAACCUCUGA